CAGCAGAGUUUGCACCUGGCUCAGGACGAACGCUGGCGGCGUGCCUAAUACAUGCAAGUCGAACGAGUUUGCUUUUAAUGAAGGCGGUGCUUGCACCAACUGAUUUAAAAAUAAACGAGUGGCGGACGGGUGAGUAACACGUGGGUAACCUACCCUAAAGUGGGGGAUAACAUUUGGAAACAGAUGCUAAUACCGCAUAAUAUUAAAAACCACAUGGUUUUUAAUUGAAAGACGGCGUAAGCUGUCACUUUUGGAUGGACCCGCGGCGUAUUAGCUAGUUGGUGAGGUAACGGCUCACCAAGGCGAUGAUACGUAGCCGACCUGAGAGGGUGAUCGGCCACAUUGGGACUGAGACACGGCCCAAACUCCUACGGGAGGCAGCAGUAGGGAAUCUUCCACAAUGGACGAAAGUCUGAUGGAGCAACGCCGCGUGAGUGAAGAAGGUUUUCGGAUCGUAAAACUCUGUUAUUGGAGAAGAACGUAUUUGGUAGUAACUGGCCAGAUAGUGACGGAUCCAAUCAGAAUGACAGU
rnacentral:rRNA from 2 species